rnacentral:lncRNA from 1 species
GUAACUCCUAGUUGAGUGUGAAGACCUGAGGUAUCAGGGGUAGGGGUUGCUCUGCUUGUGUAAGUCCCAUAGUGUGAAGGCCAGAGAACCAAGAGAUGGUCAAGAAGAGAGAGUAAGUGUCCAAUGUCCCAGCUCAAGAAGAGAGAAAACUUUUGUGGAUAGCUAAGUUACUGCUAGCCAUCUGAUUAUAGCAAUGGCUUCCAGGAGCAUCACGACCUGUGCAGACUCCCCAGCAUCAUAACAGGAAGGUCCCACGAUCACGAGCACAUUGCCUUCAGCAUCCAGCACUGAAUAUGGUGAAUUGCACUCUGAAGAGCUUCCUAAGCUUGUAAGAAAGUGAUUCUGAAAAGCUCAACAUUUUGGUAGAAUGGAGAGAUUUGACAUUGCUUCUGCUCCAAAAGCAAAAGACUUGGGCCUGGCGUAAAGGAGAUGGGACUCACACCCAAGAGGAUGCAUUUCCAUACACCCAUUUCUGAAAUAUGAAGAGGUGUCCAGUCUGUUUGAUUCAUAGCUGCCUGUUCCACAACUGCAGAUACAGUAAUUGAUAACCGAGACCAAGUUCUCAUCCCCAUCUCCCAGGGCUGGAACUGGGGCUGUGUUUGGUUCUCAUAAGAUCAGUUCCAGUUUUAGAAACUGAGUAAAUUGUGGAGUAAAUAUUGCCAAGUGAUGGCUUUCUGCUGUAGGCGUGGGUCGCUGUUGGCCAUUUGCCUCAGCAUAUCACCAGCAAUGCACCUCAUUGCAUCACUGCAUUUCCAAUUACACCUCAAAGCACCACUGGUCCCCUGUCCACCCUCUGCCCUGCAGAGGUGGGUGUUCAGGGAGACAGAUCCAAAAUCUGGGCUCAGAAGAUGGAAAUGCCAACUGCUCUCAAUUUGAGAGUGGGGAUGAGACUUUUUGACUCAACUCUGGUUAAUUCAGCCAUGCUGUCAGAGCUGCUUUGAUGCAAGGACAUCUGAAUGCUAUCUGAAUGCUGCCCCUAAAAUAACAAAUUAAAAACAACAACAACAACAAAAA